GCCUACCUGGUUUAAAUAAAGGUGAAAUAACAGAAAUGUGAUCAUUCAACAACAUAACUGGUUGUGCUUAUAGGUUACCAGAUCUUCAAUACAACUAAGUUUCUAAGACUUUAACCACACUGUAUCGUUACACUGUCAACAGAUGGCGAUGUGGGAAUUAAGGCAAUGCUGCUGGUGUGACGUAUGAUCUAGUGGACGGAACGCUUCUUUCAACAGCAGCAACAACAGUUAGUCAGACACCUCCGUAGCUUGCAAGACAAAAUAGACGAACCAAUAAAGUUAUUUCGACGCUAAAGUGUUUAUUAGCCACUGUGUUUAAAACCACUCCUGUCGUCUAGUUAGUUAUCCGAUUUCAUUUCAUAUUUACGGUGUUGUUAUUAUUAGUCAGCUAGCGGGCUGGUUAAGUUAGCAUUAGCCUAGCUAACAUCCCCGACCAUGCGGUCACUAAACUACUCCCCUGCUAAAGAAGAGAAGGGCUGCUGGACGGAGGAAGAGGAGGCUGUUACAAUACAAAAACAAGUAGAGGGUGAGGCUGUUACAGUGAAAAAAGAAGAGAAAGACGUUUCAGUGAAAGAAGAGGAAGACUCGUUCAGAGUGAAAGAAGAGGAGGAUGUUACAGUAAAAGGAGAGAAGGAUGAAUUUUAUGGUGUGAAAGAAGAGGCGGAGGAGAUGACUGUUACAUCCACAAAGGAGGAGGAAACUGGAUAUCUGGGCCCGGUUUCCCAAACGCAUCUUAAGGGGUCCAAUGGUUCUAACGGUGAACGGGCCCUGAUUAACACUAGAGAGAGUGGGGACUAUCGUGGAUCCUCUGGGGAUCCUCAACAACCUCAUG